AGAAAAUUUUCAACGGUGGAUAUCUAGGUUCCCGUGACGAUGAAUAACGCAGCGAAAUGCGAUACGCACUGCGAAUUGCAGAACCGCGAGUCAUCAGAUCUUUGAACGCACGUGGUGAGGUGUAAAAACCUUCAUGUUUGUUUCAGUGUGGAA
rnacentral:rRNA from 1 species